rnacentral:rRNA from 1 species
UGGGGAAUUUUGCGCAAUGGGCGAAAGCCUGACGCAGCAACGCCGCGUGCGGGAUGACGGCCUUCGGGUUGUAAACCGCUUUCAGUGGGAAAGAUUAUGACGGUACCCACACAAGAAGCUCCGGCUAAAUACGUGCCAGCAGCCGCGGUAAUACGUAUGGAGCAAGCGUUAUCCGGAUUUAUUGGGCGUAAAGCGCGCGUAGGCGGCUUGUUAAGCAAGGUCUUAAAUCUUGGGGCUCAACCUCAAGCCGGAUCUUGAACUGGCAGGCUCGAGUAUGGUAGAGGAAAGUGGAAUUCCCAGUGUAGCGGUGAAAUGCGCAGAUAUUGGGAAGAACACCGAUGGCGAAGGCAGCUUUCUGGGCCAUUACUGACGCUGAGGUGCGAAAGCUAGGGGAGCAAACAGG